CUCAAAGCGCCGCGAAACAGAGAGGGAAAAAACGAAUAUAGUUGAACAUUACGAGACAGGCAGCGCUGAGUACGGGAACACCGGGAGGAGCAAUUUCGUGCAAGGUGAGGGGCAACAAAGCCAUCUAAAUUUGGCGUCAAAAGACAAAGUGUCUCGGGACAAGUGGCCUGGCAAACACAGGCCUGUUGACUGAAGCAAAGGGACCUAAUGACCCUAAUGUCACUGCCCCACAGCAGCUACAAGGGAGAAGACAACAGAGUGAGGCUAUCUUGACUACCAUAAGUGGACGUGCGCUGAUAACAGAAGGGGUACCUGAGAGCUCUUUGCUUACCAGAGAGAUUAUCGGCCCACUGAGGCUCAAAGCUAGGGGAUUUGUCAACUUAACCCCUGUCCCCGCUCACUUUUUUCUCCCCCUCAGCCAUGUUUUACAAUGCUGGAUGAACCCCUGCACUGAACACAGAGCUCUUUACAGCAGAAUAAAACAUGGUUAAGUAUAACGCGGCUCGGGUCAAGGUUUCAGUCGUGGAGGAGAGGGGUUUUGGAGCUAAUGAAAUCUUGCACUCUGACUGCCAGGCAUGCUCAAUAAUGUAUUUGGGUUGAGACAUGUUUACAUUUACUCAAAUAAUGUGGUGUUCUGCACAAUUUCUUAAUUUUUACACUGUAAAAAAUUAAAUAUGCAGUUAAGGAGUUAUUUUUACAUGAUCUGAUCAUCUGAUUCUAAAAUGUGACUUUCAUUUGUGCAAUACAGUAAAGUCAGAUUUAUUCAGUAGAAAUAUUUUUGAUAUGAUAUUGAUCUUUCAGAUUCUGAAAAGAUAGAUAGAUAGAUAGAUAGAUAGACAGAUAGAUAGAUAGAAUGAAGUAGUAUGUUACUGAAUUAAUUAAUAAAGUAACUUAUUUAAAAAAUAAAAAAAAAAAAGAAUAUAAAAAUAAUGUGACAAUGGCAUGUGACAUCUAGCUGUAAAUUAUUUUUAUUGCUGUGGUUUAAAUUGUAUUUUUCUAUAUAAAUCAUUGUCCAAAAUGUGAUUGUUUUAUAAUUUAGUAAACAAAAGGUGUGGCACUUAUAUAUUUUUGAUAAAGAUCUGCAGGUAGUAAAGCUACCAGUAAGAGGGUAGAGCACUGUUCAACACAUUUUACCAUAUUUCAAUAUUUUAAAAUACUAAAUAAAUAUUAAAUAGUAAGAUAUUAAAUAUAUUAAUUAAGCAUAUUCAAAUAAAAAAUCAACAGAGAAUGCAUCAAUAAAUAAAUAAAUAAAUAAAAAUCUGCUGAUUA